ACUUUGAGAGAAUUUUAUUUUUGGCCAAAUCGUUUACCUUUUCUGUCCAAUUGAUGACAAUUUGAACCAAGAUUUGAGAAGAAAUUGAGUUUCAUGAUCAAUGCAACUUUACAAAAAGAGUUGGAGCAGAAUUAGCUAAUGCUCUCUAUGUUAUGGAUGAUGAUGAUGACGACGAUGACGGGUUUCCACAAGUGGUUGGAGCAUUAUCAAAAGGUGAUAGAGAUGUAGGUGGGACGUUAAUGGACUAUUAUCACACCCGUGGAGAGAGAGAGAGAGAGAUCAUGCAUGGCCUCCUCAUCAACCAUCAAGUGUGUUGAUCGAGUCUAAUGGAGAGUGACGAACAAGUAAGCAAGAAGGACGUGAUAAAGGUGGGGAUUCCAUCGGAUCAUCAGACUGAUCAAGUCGUGUGCGCAGGGCUUAUGAGACAGCAGAGCAUGACCAAGAACAAUUGCCUUUGCUCCCCGACCACGCAUGAGGGUUCGUUCCGUUGCAGGCUUCACCGGGCCCCGAGCCUCCAGCGGACGAAAAGCCUGAGCUAUGCUUCCCCCCGAGCCCAAGACCCAGCGUCUAAGGCUGGCUUCUAAUGCAACCUACCUCUGCUCAUCACCAUGAUCCUAAGCUUGUAACGCUAGCUGUAACGAUCCAAUGAAAAAUAAGAGCGUUACUAUAUGUAUUAUUUAUAUCAUAUAUGGCAUGGCUCUUUGCUAAAGUUCGGAAAUUUUGUAUUUUCUCUGUACUUUGUAACCAUCCUUAUUUUGUAUUGAGAAUUAAAAAGAUGGCAUUUUAUCUAGGGUUU